rnacentral:rRNA from 1 species
CCCUUAGAGUUUGAUCCUGGCUCAGAGUGAACGCUGGCGGUAGGCCUAACACAUGCAAGUCGAACGGCAGCACAGUAAGAGCUUGCUCUUAUGGGUGGCGAGUGGCGGACGGGUGAGGAAUACAUCGGAAUCUACUUUUUCGUGGGGGAUAACGUAGGGAAACUUACGCUAAUACCGCAUACGACCUCCGGGUGAAAGCAGGGGACCUUCGGGCCUUGCGCGAUUGAAUGAGCCGAUGUCGGAUUAGCUAGUUGGCGGGGUAAAGGCCCACCAAGGCGACGAUCCGUAGCUGGUCUGAGAGGAUGAUCAGCCACACUGGAACUGAGACACGGUCCAGACUCCUACGGGAGGCAGCAGUGGGGAAUAUUGGACAAUGGGCGCAAGCCUGAUCCAGCCAUACCGCGUGGGUGAAGAAGGCCUUCGGGUUGUAAAGCCCUUUUGUUGGGAAAGAAAAGCAGCGGGCUAAUACCUUGCUGUUCUGACGGUACCCAAAGAAUAAGCACCGGCUAACUUCGUGCCAGCAGCCGCGGUAAUACGAAGGGUGCAAGCGUUACUCGGAAUUACUGGGCGUAAAGCGUGCGUAGGUGGUUGUUUAAGUCUGUUGUGAAAGCCCUGGGCUCAACCUGGGAACUGCAGUGGAAACUGGAUGACUAGAGUGUGGUAGAGGGUAGCGGAAUUCCCGGUGUAGCAGUGAAAUGCGUAGAGAUCGG